UCGGACUGACACGGGCCAAGCGUUACGACGGCUCCGGGAAAUAUGAACAGGGAUCCCGUGGGCGCUUGGGCAGUGGAGUGAUGGAGGAAGAAGAGCACGAGGUGUACGGCCAAGACAUCCCCGACGAGGGGGAGAUGGAGGGCGACAUCGAUCCCCACGGCGCCGACGUCGACAUGACCCGAGCCGACGACGACGCCGUCAAAGAGCUCGAUGAGAUGAAGAAGCGGCUCAAGGAGAUGGAGGAGGAAGCCGCUGCCCUGCGCGAGAUGCAGGCAAAAGUCGAGAAGGAGAUGGGCGCCGUUCAAGAUCCUGCUAGUGCUGCUGCAACUCAAGCAAGCAGGGAGGAAGUUGAUUCUCGAUCAGUUUUUGUUGGCAAUGUGGAUUAUGCAUGCACCCCUGAAGAAGUGCAGCAGCAUUUCCAAUCUUGUGGAACAGUAAACAGGGUGACAAUUCUGACUGACAAGUUUGGCCAGCCCAAAGGUUUUGCUUAUGUGGAAUUUUUGGAAGUUGAGGCUGUACAAGAGGCUCUCCUCUUGAAUGAAUCUGAAUUACAUGGUCGCCAACUGAAGGUAUGUGCCAAACGAACUAAUAUCCCUGGAAUGAAGCAGUACCGCCCACGGCGGUUCAAUCCAUACUCGGGCUACCGAUUCAGGAGGCCAUAUAUGCCACCAUAUUUUUACUCUCCCUAUGGAUAUGGGAAAGUUCCCAGAUUCAGAAGGCCAAUGCGCUAUAGGCCUUACUACUAAAUGAUCAAAAGCUCUGCUAGGUAAUAUGACUGUUAUUCUAGCCUGAAGUUGGGAGUCUGUCCCGAAGUGUCCUAUGCAAGUGGCACUGGUCCGCUUUAUAUCAUUACUUCUCUGCUUUUCUUAUGAGCUUUGAUGAAUGGUUCUUAUAGGACAAGCUGAAGAUUCGUGGUCCCGAAUCUCUAACUUGAGGAGGUGUGUCAAUGCACAGCUCAACUUUCAUAUUUUGUUCAUCUAUAUUUGGCCUCUUAUCAAUGUACAGAUAUUUGGUAUCAAUGUACAGCUCAGCUUCCAUAUUUGGUUUGCCUAUAUCUGGCCUCUUGUCAAUGCACAAAUAUUUGACCUCUUGUAAUAGCUGGCCUAGACUACAAUGGCAUGUAAUUUGAAAUGCUUCUCUUAUAAUAGCUGGCUUAAA